UGAGUAACUGCGCUCCUGAGCUGUUGUACCGGUUUUCCAUGGUUUGCUUUAAUCGGCAGGCUGUGGUGGCUGGUGUGUUUACCUUGAAUAAAUCAAAAUGCUCAAGAUAGGCGUCUCGCCUGAAUGACAGUGCAUGGAAUAAUGGAAUAAGACUUCGGUUUAUUCUGUUGGUCUUGGAACCGAUGUAAUGGUUAAGAGGGACUGACGGGGGCAUUUGUAUCGAUGCGUGAGAGGUGAAAUUCUUGGACCGCAUCGAGACAAACUACUGCGAAAGCAUUUGCCAAGAAUGUCUUCAUUAAUCAAGAACGAAAGUCAGAGGAUCGAAGGCGAUUAGAUACCGCCCUAGUUCUGACCGUAAACGAUGCCAACUAGCGAUCAGGCGGUGACUAUUAAACCCUGCCUGGGAGCUUCCCGGAAACGAAAGUCUUCGGGUUCCGGGGGUAGUAUGGUUGCAAAGCUGAAACUUAAAGGAAUUGACGGAAGGGCACCACCAGGAGUGGAGCCUGCGGCUUAAUUUGACUCAACACGGGAAAACUCACCCGGCCCGGACACUGUAAUGAUUGACAGAUUGAGAGUUCUUUCUUGAUUCGGUGGUUGGUGGUGCAUGGCCGUUCUUAGUUGGUGGAGUGAUUUGUCUGGUUUAUUCCGAUAACGAACGAGACUCUAACCUGCUAAAUAGUCCUGCAGUAGCUUCGCUGCAGCAACUUCUUAGAGGGAUCAGUGG
rnacentral:rRNA from 1 species